UCAAGAAUAUUCCACAAUGGACGAAAGUCUGAUGGAGCGACGCCGCGUGCAGGAUGACGCCCUUCGGGGUGUAAACUGCUUUUGUAGGGGACGAAUUUGUGACGGUACCCUAAGAAUAAGAGGUUGCUAACUCUGUGCCAGCAGCAGCGGUAAUACAGAGACCUCAAACGUUAUCCGGAUUCAUUGGGCGUAAAGCGUCCGCAGGUGGUUUGAAAAGUCAGUGCUUAAAUCCUGGGGCUUAACUUCAGGACUGGCGCUGAUACUGUCAAACUAGAGACUGGGAGAGGCAAGCGGAACUAUCGGUGUAGUCGUAAUAAGCGCUGAUAUCGAUAGGAACACCAAAGGCGAAGGCAGCUUGCUAGAACAUGUCUGACACUCAUGGACCAAAGCGUGGGGAGCGAAUGGG
rnacentral:rRNA from 1 species